GCGGGUAUGGUUCAGUGGUAGAACCUCAGCCUUCCAAGCUGAUGGCGCGGGUUCGAUUCCCGCUACCCGCACCA
rnacentral:tRNA from 1 species